rnacentral:Y_RNA from 1 species
GGUUGGUCCGAGUGCAGUGGUGUUUCAACUGAUGGAUCACAACCAGUUACAGAUUCCUUUAUUCCUUCUCCACUCUAACUGCUUCACUUGACCAGCCUUAA